GCAGUCGACGAACUCUGGUAUUGAUUGGUGCUUGCAUCAUGAUUUACAUUUGAGUGAGUGGCGAACUGGUGAGUAACACGUGGGAAACCUGCCCAGAAGCGGGGGAUAACACCUGGAAACAGAUGCUAAUACCGCAUAACAACUUGGACCGCAUGGUCCGAGUUUGAAAGAUGGCUUCGGCUAUCACUUUUGGAUGGUCCCGCGGCGUAUUAGCUAGAUGGUGGGGUAACGGCUCACCAUGGCAAUGAUACGUAGCCGACCUGAGAGGGUAAUCGGCCACAUUGGGACUGAGACACGGCCCAAACUCCUACGGGAGGCAGCAGUAGGGAAUCUUCCACAAUGGACGAAAGUCUGAUGGAGCAACGCCGCGUGAGUGAAGAAGGGUUUCGGCUCGUAAAACUCUGUUGUUAAAGAAGAACAUAUCUGAGAGUAACUGUUCAGGUAUUGACGGUAUUUAACCAGAAAGCCACGGCUAACUACGUGCCAGCAGCCGCGGUAAUACGUAGGUGGCAAGCGUUGUCCGGAUUUAUUGGGCGUAAAGCGAGCGCAGGCGGUUUUUUAAGUCUGAUGUGAAAGCCUUCGGCUCAACCGAAGAAGUGCAUCGGAAACUGGGAAACUUGAGUGCAGAAGAGGACAGUGGAACUCCAUGUGUAGCGGUGAAAUGCGUAGAUAUAUGG
rnacentral:rRNA from 1 species